rnacentral:rRNA from 1 species
UACAGAGGUGGCAAGCGUUGUUCGGAAUUACUGGGCGUAAAGGGUUCGUAGGUGCCAACUAAGUCAUACGUGAAAUCCCUCAGCUUAACUGGGGAACUGCGUCUGAUACUGGUUGGCUUGAGUGCAGGAGAGGAACGCGGAAUUCCAGGUGUAGCGGUGAAAUGCGUAGAUAUCUGGAGGAACACCGGUGGCGAAGGCGGCGUUCUGGACUGCAACUGACACUGAGGAACGAAAGCCAGGGGAGCAAACGGG